CGGCCGCGGUACCCUGACCGUGCUAAGGUAGCAUAAUCCCUUGCCUCUUAAUUAGUGGCUAGUAUGAAUGGAAAAACGAAAAUCGUGCUGUCUCUAUAAGACAAAUAAAAAUUAUCCUCCAAGUGAAAAGACUUGAAUACUAAUAAAAGACAAGAAGACCCUGCAGAGCCUAAGUAUUAUCUAACGUAUAGCAAUAUAAAUAAACAUCUAAUAUUUAGCUUUACUUUAGUUGGGGCGACUAAGGAAUAACAAAAACUUCCUACAUAUGUAAGGCAAAUAAGCCAUAAAAAGAUCCACGACAGUGAUUAAAAACCCAGGCUACCUCAGGGAUAACAGGCUAAUCUUCCUCGAGAGCUCCUAUUGACAGGAAGGAUUGGCACCUCGAUGUUGGCUUAGGAGAACUUUUAGGUGUAGCUGCCUAAAAUGCGGGUUUGUUCAACCCUUAAUAUCCUACGUGAUC
rnacentral:rRNA from 1 species